CCCCCCCCCCCCCCCCCCCCCCAUCUUUUCUCCCCUUCUCUGCCCGACAGGCCAGUGCCCCCACAUCGCUUCUGUGCCUCCUCGCGGCGCCUCCUCGCUGCUAUGCUGUGACUCAUCUUGUCGAUUCUCUGCUGUGACACAUUCUUAUCGGCUUUCCUCGUCGCCUUGCCCCCUCGUUUGCAGUCUCGCCAGCCACCUGCCCCUCAGCUCACCUCAUUACUAGAAAGCUAGAAAUCUGGAAUCUCGCUUGCCUCAUCUCACCUCUAUAAAAUAGUUUUCAAUUUCACCAACACAGAAAUUGAUUACUCGGGAUUCAUAUCCACAAAUCAAAGCUACAAAUUGCAAAGAUGGGGAAGGUAACUUAUAAGAGAUUCAAAGGGAGCCAAAACCUCCGCCUGAGACUGCUAUUAGCAACCCUCUCUGCCACUCCUGUUCUUAUCGAGGACAUUCGCGCUGAUGAGACACUGCCAGGCCUCCGACCCCAUGAGAUCUCCUUCCUCCGCCUCCUUGAGAGAGUCUCUGAUGACUGCCUCAUUGAAAUAAAUGAAACUGGCACGAAGCUUAAAUACAAACCUGGAAUCGUGAUGGGUGGGAAACAUCUUGUGCACGAUUGUGGUGUUAAUCGAUCAAUUGGUUAUUUCCUAGAGCCAUUGGUUGUUCUUGGGUUGUUUGCAAAGAAAUCCCUUAUGGAAUUACAAAUGAUUCAAAGGAUCCAUCUGUUGACACUUUUCGCUCUGCUACCUUGCCAAUGUUGAGGCAAUUCGGAGUUCCUUCAGAAGGAUUGGAACUAAAAAUAGAGAGUCGUGGUGUUCCACCUCAUGGAGGUGGAGAAGUUGUUUUAUCGAUUCCUAUUGUUCAAAGUCUAGAGGCAGUGACCUGGUCUGAUGAGGGAAUGGUUAAGAGGAUUAGAGGAGUCACUUUCUCAACCAGGGUAUCCUCUCAGUUUGAAAAUACUAUGAUACAUGCUGCCCGUGGUAUCUUUAAUCGUUUGCUUCCUGAUGUUCAUAUAUUUACUGAUCAUAAAGCUGGCCCUCAAGCUGGAAAUUCUCCUGGUUAUGGGAUUUCCUUGGUUGCCGAAACUACCUCUGGCUGCUUCAUCUCUGCUGAUACAGCAGUUUCUUAUGUGCGGGGGAAUGAUAUAGAUGAAAUGGAAGAUGAAAAGGAGUUGAUGCCUCCAGAGAAUGUUGGUGAGCAAAUAGCUUCUUUUCUUCUUCAGGAGAUUGAGCAAGGUGGAGUUGUAGAUUCAACACACCAGGUCUGUGUUAUUGCUUCUUCCUCUCGUUGUUUUUAAUUAUUUGUUCUAUCGAUUUUGGUAAAUUUUGUGCAGAAAAAAUUUAUUUUGCUGUUUAAUCCUGAAACUUUGUUGACCAUCAAAUUCUAUUGACUCAUUCUCUCUUGGAUGAACAUAUAUGCAACUCUAAUAAUCUUUUUUUUCUUAAGAUAUAUGGUUGAAAUUAAUAUUACAUUGGCAUAAAAAGGGGGAUGUGAAUGCUGUUUGUGGAUUAAACCCCUCUAAAGACUACUAAAGUAAGUAGCUUUUAUACUGAACAGUAUGCUUCUCAGCAAAAGAGAGGAAGAGAAGUUCUGCAAUCUAAUUCUGAUUGCUGACAGGAAGAGUUAAAAGUGAAAUGCAUUUUUGUUGGUUGAGUUUCAAAUAAUACACUCUUUUAUGAAUUUCCAAUAAUACACCCUUUCUUACCGUCAUUUCGUUCUUACCUUCUUAUAAUUGUUGCUUUGAUCUUCUUUUGUAGGGUCUAUUGUUUCUUCUCUGUGCUAUGUGUCCUCAAGAUGUGUCAAAGAUUCGUGUGGGAAAGCUUUCACCGUAUGGAAUAGAAACUCUGAGACAUAUUAAAGAUUUUCUGGGGGUUAAGUUUGUUAUUAAGCCAGACCCAUCAACAGGGACAGUUAUACUCAAAUGUGUGGGAAGUGGAUUGAAGAACCUCUCAAGAAAGAGUUCAUAAUGAUUGAUCAGUUACUACAUGAGAUAAUGAUUCUUUGUCAGAGGAUGGGCUUUUUGUAGACUCGUUUAUGAGACGGCUUAAUGUGGAGUAGAAAACUUGCAGCUUCAUGAAAUCCAUCUCCUUCAAAUUUUGUUUUCUCAUUAGCCCUUAAGCAUAAGGGGAGAGCACCUACUCUUUUUUAUUCUUGUUUAAUCAUUAUUUAUUUUAUUUCUUCUUUUCUUUAAUCUUAUCUUUAAUACAUCAUUUUAAUUUAUAGUAGACGAAAACCUGGUUGUUCAGUGAGCAAAAUUCGGGCAAUUGUGUGGCCUUGCCAGUGGAGUUUUGUUGGGCUUGGUGUUUGUGCUUCCUUUAGUUUAUUUGUAAAAGUAGGAACAUUCAGUUGCGUUAUGUUUGGAAUAUUUGGGUUUAUGCUUUAGUAACAUGUUUGACAAAGGAGUUAAAAUAAUGAAUUAGAAUAAUUAUUGGGAUUAAGAUUUAGUUAUUGUUAUUGAUGAGCUUUAGUUUAAUGAUAUUGAAUCGCUCUCAUCUUGCGUCAAAUAAAACA
rnacentral:misc_RNA from 1 species